rnacentral:rRNA from 1 species
UGAGGAAUUUUGCGCAAUGGGGGAAACCCUGACGCAGCAACGCCGCGUGAGUGAUGAAGGCUUUCGAGUCGUAAAGCUCUGUCAAGUGGGAAGAAGUCAUGCAUGGCCAAUAUCCAUGUAUGUUGACGGUACCACUGAAGGAAGCACCGGCUAACUCCGUGCCAGCAGCCGCGGUAAUACGGGGGGUGCAAGCGUUACUCGGAAUCAUUGGGCGUAAAGGGCGCGUAGGCGGCCUGAUCAGUCAGAUGUGAAAGCCCGGGGCUCAACCCCGGAAGAGCAUUUGAUACUGUCAGGCUUGAGUAUGGGAGAGGAAAGUGGAAUUCCUGGUGUAGAGGUGAAAUUCGUAGAUAUCAGGAGGAACACCGGUGGCGAAGGCGACUUUCUGGACCAAUACUGACGCUGAGGCGCGAAGGCGUGGGGAGCAAACAGG